rnacentral:rRNA from 1 species
GACGAACGCUGGCGGCGUGCUUAACACAUGCAAGUCGAACGAUGAACCAGGGCUUGCCCUGGGGAUUAGUGGCGAACGGGUGAGUAACACGUGGGCAACCUGCCCCAGACACCGGGAUAACCUCUCGAAAGAGUGGCUAAUACCGGAUACGACCACUUUGGGCAUCCAACGGUGGUGGAAAGGAUUCUGGUCUGGGAUGGGCCCGCGGCCUAUCAGCUUGUUGGUGGGGUAAUGGCCUACCAAGGCGACGACGGGUAGCCGGCCUGAGAGGGCGACCGGCCUCACUGGGACUGAGACACGGCCCAGACUCCUACGGGAGGCAGCAGUGGGGAAUAUUGCGCAAUGGGCGAAAGCCUGACGCAGCGACGCCGCGUGAGGGACGAAGGUCUUCGGAUUGUAAACCUCUUUCAGCAGGGACGAAGCGAAAGUGACUGUACCUGCAGAAGAAGCACCGGCUAACUACGUGCCAGCCGCCGCGGUAAGAC